GGAAAUAAAAUGUCUCAUUGUCAGGUAGCCCAAGAGACAUCCAUGUGUGUGCAAUUGUGUCCUAAACUAGAAGGCACAUAAAAGAUUACAAUUUGUCUUGGAUCUUGAAUGCUCCAUCCAUGUUCGGGUUGAAUAUUUGUCCAAGGUCUUUUGCAAGGGUCCUAACAACAAUCUCUAAGUCCAUUCCAAUGUCCAUUACAUGUUUGAG
rnacentral:lncRNA from 1 species